rfam:Roseivivax atlanticus strain 22II-s10s contig4, whole genome shotgun sequence.
GCCCGAGUGGCGGAAUGGUAGACGCAGGGGAUUCAAAAUCCCCCGGUGGCAACACCUUGUCGGUUCGAGUCCGACCUCGGGUA